UUAAUUCAGGAGUAAAACCUGUUUAAUAUCUGUUGUUCUACUUUCCGCAGUUCUUCAGUGUGCAGGUCAAGUUGAGAUGGAGCUGCAUGGAGGCAAUCUUGGGAAGCCGGAGCCCCCUCCCACAUCUUCUGCCUUGUGCUGUCAGCCCUCCUGAGUCGAUACAAACUGUAGCCUGGGGCCCGGCCUGGACUCCCCACUGAGGUUCUGGCCUACCGCUGGGAGAUCAAAGACCCGCCGAGAACAAUGCCUGUCUGCAGCGUGUACACAGCUGGUUGGAAGACAAGACCUCCCGAUUCACGUAAAAGGCCCGAAUGACGUCGCCAAGCCCCAGCACAAUUUUAUUUAAGCCAUUACAGCUCCUGGGAGUGUAUUGGUGGGGGCUCGGUUCCACAUGAGAGGACUUCCUCCUCACCAGGCAGUGUUUAAAGAAGAGCAACAGGUGGCUGCUGGCAGAGGGAACCUGAGGCUAAGUGGAUGUCAAAGUGGAAUUGUGGCUGAAUCACGGCUAUUUAUUUGACCCUCCUCACAUCUGCACUCUUCCCCUCUGAGAAGGAAGUGAUGGGAGGGGAGAAGAGCAGAGGGGCGGUUUGUUCGGCUCCUCUCCACAAGUUAAUGUGGGGCUGGGGGAUGUGUGUGUGUGUGUGUGUGUGAG